rnacentral:piRNA from 1 species
UGAAGUCAACGUACAUGGUAGCAGAGU